GUCAACCGGCUCAGGUGACAUUGCUACAAAGAGGUGUACAUCAGACCAUAUUACCCUCGAGAGAAGCAUACAACUUAUACUGUACUCAGAAAACAAAA